rnacentral:rRNA from 1 species
AUCUACAGCCAUCCCACUCUGAACAUGCCUGAUCUUGGGCGCUAAGCAGGGCUGGGCCUGGUCAGUACUUGGAAGGGAGACUACCUGGGUGCCAUAGGCUUUUGUGAAAA